rnacentral:rRNA from 1 species
UACGGAGGGUGCAAGCGUUAAUCGGAAUUACUGGGCGUAAAGCGCACGCAGGUGGCUGAGUCAGUCGAUUGUGAAAGCCCUGGGCUUAACCUGGGAAUUGCAGUCGAUACUACUCGGCUCGAGUAUGGGAGAGGGCAGUGGAAUUCCCGGUGUAGCGGUGAAAUGCGCAGAUAUCGGGAGGAACACCAAUGGCGAAGGCAGCUCGCUGGGACGGUACUGACGCUGAGACGCGAAAGCGUGGGGAGCAAACAGG